rnacentral:rRNA from 1 species
AUUGAACGCUGGCGGCAGGCCUAACACAUGCAAGUCGAGCGAGCGGCGGACGGGUGAGUAAUGUCUGGGAAACUGCCUGAUAGAGGGGGAUAACUACUGGAAACGGUGGCUAAUACCGCAUACCAUCGGAUGUGCCCAUAUGGGAUUAGCUUGUGGGUGGGGUAAAGGCUCACCAAGGCGACGAUCCCUAGCUGGUCUGAGAGGAUGACCAGCCACACUGGAACUGAGACACGGUCCAGACUCCUACGGGAGGCAGCAGUGGGGAAUAUUGCACAAUGGGCGCAAGCCUGAUGCAGCCAUGCCGCGUGUAUGAAGAAGGCCUUCGGGUUGUAAAGUACUUUCAGCGGGGAGGCGUUACCCGCAGAAGAAGCACCGGCUAACUCCGUGCCAGCAGCCGCGGUAAUUC